rnacentral:rRNA from 1 species
GACGAACGCUAGCGGCGUGCUUAACACAUGCAAGUCGAACGGAAAGGCCCUGCUUUUGUGGGGUGCUCGAGUGGCGAACGGGUGAGUAACACGUGAGUAACCUGCCCUUGACUUUGGGAUAACUUCAGGAAACUGGGGCUAAUACCGGAUAGGAGCUCCUGCUGCAUGGUGGGGGUUGGACAGUUUCGGCGGUUGGGGAUGGACUCGCGGCUUAUCAGCUUGUUGGUGGGGUAGUGGCUUACCAAGGCUUUGACGGGUAGCCGGCCUGAGAGGGUGACCGGCCACAUGGGGACUGAGAUACGGACCAGACUCCUAAGGGAGGCAGCAGUGGGGAAUAUUGCACAAUGGGAGGAAGCCUGAUGCAGCAACGCCGCGUGCGGGAUGACGGCCUUCGGGUUGUAAACCGCUUUCGCCUGUGACGAAGCGUGAGUGACGGUAAUGGGUAAAGAAGCACCGGCUAACUACGUG